AAAGGGAGCAAGGUGGUGAAGGCUGAGAGAUAAAGGGGAGGUGGUUAAGGCUGAGAGGUAAAGUGGAGGUGGUGAAGGCUGAGAGAUAAAGGGGAGGUGGUGAAGGCUGAGAGGUAAAGGGGAGGUGGUGAAGGCUGAGAGGUAAAGGGGAGGUGGUGAAGGCUGAGAGAUAAAGGGGAGGUGGUGAAGGCUGAGAGGUAAAGGGGAGGUGGUGAAGGCUGAGAGGUAAAGGGGAGGUGGUGAAGGCUGAGAGGUAAAGGGGAACAAGGUGGUGAAGGCUGAGAGAUAAAGGGGAGGUGGUGAAGGCUGAGAGGUAAAGGGGAACAAGGUGGUGAAGGCUGAGAGGUAAAGGGGAGGUGGUGAAGGCUGAGAGGUAAAGGGGAACACUAUGGUGAAGGCUGAGAGGUAAAGGGGAACAAUGUGGUGAAGGCUCAGAGGUAAAGGGGAGGUGGUGAAGGCUGAG
ensembl:lncRNA